rnacentral:rRNA from 1 species
UACGGAGGGUGCAAGCGUUAUCCGGAAUUAUUGGGCGUAAAGCGUCCGCAGGUGGCAGUUCAAGUCUGCUGUCAAAGACCGGGGCUUAACUUCGGAAAGGCAGUGGAAACUGAACAGCUAGAGUAUGGUAGGGGCAGAGGGAAUUCCUGGUGUAGCGGUGAAAUGCGUAGAGAUCAGGAAGAACAUCGGUGGCGAAGGCGCUCUGCUGGACCAUAACUGACACUCAGGGACGAAAGCUAGGGGAGCGAAUGGG